AUCAUUGCGAGUGCAACUGCGUCAAUCAAGGAUUGUUUUGUAAAAGCCACUUGAUACGCUGGUGCAAUGGAAUUUUCCAUUCAUUGGAGAAUAAAAAAGUUGUUGAAGCUUCAAACAGUGAGAUAGCAAGCUUUUAUCGUUGUCUAUAUAUGAACGGUAUAAAGCGCUUUAGCAGACAGGUGUGGGAUCCCACCGUUGAUACACCCCGACAAUUCCAAGCACAUGUGGUCGAACAAAAAUAGUUCAAGACGUUAACUACCUACACAUCAUUGUAUCUAUUCUUGAAGAGUAUUCGUACGAUUAUUCAACUCCUGAAAUUCUUGAUGGUAUGAUGAAAGAAAUGAAAACGAGUUGAUAUCUUGAUUUUUACAUAAGUUGCAUCACGUGCAACAAUGUCAACGGUAGCAAAAUAGGUGAAAAAAGUUCAUCAACAAUCACGUCUUAACUUUCUCCAAUGAAAAGAAUGGACGAUGAAGGAUGAAGAAUGUAAUUCAGAAAUGAGGAGGCUCAUUAAAUUGUAAUUACUGUAAUCACAACAAAAAAAAUUCGGGAUGUAUAAGCGGUGAGUUGAGUGCAUUCCAUUAGAAAAAUUUGGCUCUAUUCAGUUUUUAAAUAUCGGAGGGACAUCCGCCAUUAAGCACUCGUGUUUAAUUUAAUUUCUUAUCUCUAAAGUCGUCCGCAUUAGUAAGACCUCGUAGUUUCCGUGUUACAGAUAAGUGGAUAAUGAUAUUAUUGACAAUCGCGAGUAACUGCUAAAGUUGAUGAACUUCUCCUAUUUUCAUAAAUUAAUUAAACGUUUACUUUAUUAUAUCAUCCAGUUGAACAAUCAAAAAAUACUGAAAGAUAAACGAUAGGAGAGUUCGGUCGCUCGUUGUAAUGACAAUUAAUUUUAAAAUUGAGAAGAACUUAUUCCUCAUCUUUUAUCAGUAAUUUUCCAUUGAAAAAUCGAUCACCCAACUGUUUGCGAAGCACCUGAGUAAAUUACUGAAUGAUUGGAAGAGCUCUUGUUGCGUGAAAUUGAUCAGUUAUUUAAUUCUGAAAAACGAUUUCAAUUUUCACACAUUUCCGAAGUUCAUUUUGUCUAUUAAAAAUAAAUAUUAGUCAAAUAUGAGAAAAUCAAUUCCUCCCACAGAAGUUGAAGUGAAUCACCGAAUGGAUGAACGAAAAUUAUGGACAGUGAAUCCGUAAAAAAAAAAUACCAAUGCUCGAUUAGUCAUCAAUGAUUACCCACUUUACAUGGACUUCAUAAAUAUUUCUCCUGACCCAUCCAAUUGACUCAGCUGCAAAUUUUCUACUCACGUAUAUCGGAAUCAUUCAUCAUUUUCUUGCGGUCAUUCAGUCAUAAGAAUACGCGAUAAGAACGAAGUCACGGAAAAUAAAUUUGAGGCUCAAUUGAAAGGACAUCUAUUUAUCGUGUUCUAACAGAAAUCAAUGUGUAAUCGUCUGUAGUACAUCUUGAAAUUGUUAACAAUGCCUCAAGGAUUUUAGUGUACACAAACUGAAGUCGUGCCACACACUUGAACAAUGUUAACUGGUCAGGCGUAUCGUCUUCUUCCCAUUAUCAAACACCAACCGGAAAUAUAUUGUCGUCAACUACUAGGCGAAGUCACAAAAGGUGCGGUCGUAUACCCAAUACAUCAGACCUCCUUACAUCUCAAUCAUCACAAAUAUUAAAUGAAAAACCUUCAAUAGUUGAUUAUCUACAUAAUAUAAGGAGAUGCUGAAGUACAUUGUUUUGAUUUACAUUACUGGAUUUUUAAGGGUCUUGGAGUCCCUGUUUUGGAUUCCCCUGGUCACUCGACCCAAUCCUGUGCCAUUCAUGAGACACAGAAUUAAUUUAGAAAAUCAUCGAAUUCAAGAUCUCUCCCCCCUCCCAUACUCCAAUAAAAUGUCAAUCGAAAAUUGUACUUAUGCUUGAACGAAUUUGAAGCAUCACAAUUAAGGAAACCUAAAGUUUACCCUCGGGUGAAGGCACGGAUACUCCAAAAUAAUCAUCAUCAUAAAAAUCCAAUUAACUUAUGUAGCUAUCAUAAUUAUCUUUUAACUUCAACUUAAUGGCAUCGACUGGGCAUUUUAAGUUAGAUUAUAUGAUUUUGAGGCGUAAUCUUCAAAGAUAUUCCGGGGAUUUGGAUUUUCAGAAAGAAAACAAAUUUAUGUAUUUCAUUAUUGGACUCAUCAGUGGAACAUCGAGGGAGAAAAUAUGUAUUUGUUCACCUGCUAAUAGGUAUAUUUCAAUUAUUUUCUCAAGCUCAUGGAAUUGGGUUCUCCCUGUACGUACGAAACGCCGAAAACCGUCGCUCUAGGUACAGGAAGGACUCAAAGGAAGGACUUUUCAGAGAUGAAAAAAACGAAAACGAUGAAGAAAUCGAAAGAGAGCAAUAAAAAGUGAAAUCCGCACCUGUGCAAGAGGUAUCAGGAAAAUGUAUUGCAAAUCGUGGCAGUAACCUGUUCGCUUUCGCAGUAUAUGCUGUCCUUUGUUUUCAAUACCACUAGAUGCUUACAAUAUAUAAGUUGUUGUAUACCUGCGCCUACAAUGCUCAACGCUGGUGGACAUAUUCUCAACACCACAGUGAAAGGGAGAACCGACCAGUGAAAAUGUAGAGAUUGCGUCUAAUGAUUGCAUGUGACCGAUGGAAUAUUUUAUUAUAAUUUGCUGUAUUUUCCAUCUACUACAAAUUAGAAUGAUAAUCACAAUCAAUUUUUUUUCAUCUUCAUGUUGAGAGGUUUCACUUUCAAAUUUCAGAGAAAAGAUUCAUUUAUUUUUCUUGAACACGAAUCAUAUUUACUUAUCAUUUGAUAGUCAAAUCGCUAUCAUUUGCGGUUUGAAAGCCUUUUCGCAACGUUUGCCAUGAGAUACCUCAUAAUGCUCGUGAUUUGAGUUUGUAAUGAAGACAGUCAAUUUAUAUUAAGAUUCAGAGACAAGUUGAAAGUUAUGAACCGCAACGAUUCGUUUAAAUAACAUCCGUAUGGGUAUACGAAGGAUCGUUUGUUAAGAAAAAUUGUCGGUAAUUGAGAUAAGUCGGUUGUUGACAAAAAAAAAAUUAUAAUGGGUUAUAAUUGUUGAUUAUGAUCUCCUGGUCCCAUCAAACGUUCAUUCGUUAAUCGUUAGCGAAUGUGGUUUGCAUUAAUGAAUCAUUUCAUUGCUGCACACUAUAAAAAUCGGUUUUGUACUAAGAUCGAAAUAUAUGAUUUAUUGAAGAGAAGAUCCA